AUUGAACGCUGGCGGCAGGCCUAACACAUGCAAGUCGAGCGGAUGAAGGGAGCUUGCUCCUGGAUUCAGCGGCGGACGGGUGAGUAAUGCCUAGGAAUCUGCCUGGUAGUGGGGGAUAACGUCCGGAAACGGGCGCUAAUACCGCAUACGUCCUGAGGGAGAAAGUGGGGGAUCUUCGGACCUCACGCUAUCAGAUGAGCCUAGGUCGGAUUAACUAGUUGGUGGGGUAAAGGCCUACCAAGGCGACGAUCCGUAACUGGUCUGAGAGGAUGAUCAGUCACACUGGAACUGAGACACGGUCCAGACUCCUACGGGAGGCAGCAGUGGGGAAUAUUGGACAAUGGGCGAAAGCCUGAUCCAGCCAUGCCGCGUGUGUGAAGAAGGUCUUCGGAUGGUAAAGCACUUUAAGUUGGGAGGAAGGGCAGUAAGUUAAUACCUUGCUGUUUUGACGUUACCAACAGAAUAAGCACCGGCUAACUUCGUG
rnacentral:rRNA from 1 species